GACGAACGCUGGCGGCAUGCCUAAUACAUGCAAGUCGAGCGAACAGAUGAAGUGCUUGCGCUUCUGACGUUAGCGGCGAACGGGUGAGUAACACGCAAGGAAUCUACCUACAAGCGCGGGUUAACAUUCGGAAACGGGUGCUAAUACCGCAUCAUAUCUUCUUCCUCAUGGACGAAGAUUGAAAGACUGCCUUGCUGUCAAUUAUAGUUGACCUGGCGGUGCAUUAGUUAGUUGGUGGGGUAAUGGCCUACCAAGACGAUGAUGCUAAUAGCCGACCUGAGAGGUUGAUCGGCCAAAUUGGGACUGAGACACGGCCCAAACUCCUACGGGAGGCAGCAGUAGGGAAUCUUCCGCCAUGGGCGAAAGCCUGACGGAGCAAUGCCGCGUGAGUGAAGAAGGCCUUCGGGUCGUAAAACUCUGUUAUAAGAGAAGAACAAAUUGUAGAGUAACUGCUACAGUCUUGACGGUAUCUUAUCAGAAAGCCACGGCUAACUACGUGCCAGCAGCCGCCGCGG
rnacentral:rRNA from 1 species